UCCCUGGUGGCUCAGAGGUUAAAGCGUCUGCCUGCAAUGCGGGAGACCUGGGUUUGAUCCCUAGGUCGGGAA
rnacentral:tRNA from 1 species